UUCUUUCCUUCUCCUCCUCGGUCAUUUUCGGAAAAUCCAUGAGCACCGCCUCUGCUCUGCUUCGAUUCUAGCAUGUCCACAGCGUUCUCCAUACUUCCUCUUCAGUCUUCAAGGUUGCCGGCGUGGGAAUGUUAGAGUGCGUUGUCCGUUGCUGCUGCCGUGAGUUUUCCUCUUCCCCUGUGCUGCACUGACUUCCCUUCCCUUCCGUUCUGCAACAUCACCCUUCCUCCUUCACUCAGCUGACAGCCACCGGUGGUUAUGUCAGAGUCAUACUCGUGCAACCUUCUCCUUCCUCCUCUGUCCGAGCAAUAGCUUGGAUGCAUCAGAAAUCUUCCCUCCCUGUUCUGUCUAUUGCUGAAGCAUCCUUCAGAAAUCUCUCCCUCGGCCACUCCUUCCUCUUCGAUCCUUGCUUCCUUGUGGGUGUGCGAUGGACCCUCUUCUUGUUUUUUUUUCCAAUGUUUAUGCAACUAGUUUCCUCAUUUUGCUUUUGUCGCUGCUGAUCAAAGAUAAUGUAGCUGAUGCUGUACGUCAUGCGGUACACUGAGGGAUUUUUAGCUGAGAUGAGUGAAGAUCUGUUGUGUAAAUAUCUCUUACUGAUAUAAAUAUGAAAUUUAUGUAUUAUGUCAUAAAGUAUAUAAUUAGGUGUGGAAUAGACUAUAGUUAGGAUUCAUAUUUUUUUAAAUAUUUUGUUUGUUGGCUGGACGGAGCUGAGCUCCUAAUUAAAAUGAUCUCUUGUAUAAAAUAUUGUGUUAUUCA